rfam:Verrucomicrobia subdivision 6 bacterium BACL9 MAG-120924-bin69 contig01531_1_120924-bin69, whole genome shotgun sequence.
UAUGGAAUCAGGGCAGUCGCCCUCAGCUUGUCUGGGGGAGGAAAGUCCGGACACCACAGGAUAAUCCGCCCUGGGAAAGCUGGGGGCAGUCUCAACGCAAGUUGGGAUUGACGGAAAGUGUCACAGAAAAAAUACCGCUUAGCGCAAGCUAGGUAAGGGUGAAAAGGCGGGGUAAGAGCCCACCGCUCUUGGGGUGACCCAAGAGAAUGACAAACCACGGAUGGUGCAAGGCCGAGCAGGGAGAUGGGUGAUCCGCCCGUUGCGCGCAAGUGCGACACUCCCGGGUUGGAGCCGCAUCGGAACGGUGGCAACACCGGUCCGAAAUUCACCCUCGGGUGGAUUAGAGAAAUGGCUGCCAGUUCAUUGGGGAAACUCGAUGAACCACAGAAUCCGGCUUACGGGUUCCACAGGAA